ensembl:lncRNA
CACAGUGAAAGAGGAAGAGGGGAUGGAGGUUGUCAUAGUGGAAGAAGAGGUAGAAGCUUUCAGAAUGAAAGAUGAGAUAGAGGAGGAUAUCACAUUGAAAGAAGAAGAACCUUUUGUGGUGAAAGAGGAGGAGACUGAAGAUCCGAUUAACACCAAUCCAAAAACGAGGCCAUAUGCAGUUUCCUGGCCCUCCCAGGGCUCUACAGUGAAGGAGGACAUCAGAAAGAUGCAGGAAGAAUCUAAUGUGACACCCGACAUGUCUUUCCGUCUCCCAGAGUCCCCAGGUCGUGCCUCUCCCAAUGUUGCCUUACUGUGGGGUCUGAAGAGGGUGUCUGUGCGGCUGGUCGACUGCAGGAAAACACCGGGUCUGCGUGGAACUGUGAGAGGAGAAGAAGAGGGAGAUUCAGAUUCAAGGCGAUGUUGGGAGGUUGGUCUGGUGUCCCCCGGGGCGAUGUUGGGAGGUAGGUCUGGUGUCCCCCGGGGUGAUGUUGGGAGGUAGGUCUGGUGUCCCCCGGGGUGAUGUUGGGAGGUUGGUCUGGUGUCCCCCAGGGUGAGGUUGGUCUGGUGGUUCAACUUUGAAGUCUGGGUCUUUGUAUAUGACCUGUUUUAUCUUCCCGCCGCAUUACAGUCUGCUGGACCAAUGGUGUUCUAGACAGCCUGCUGGACCAAUGGGGUCCUAGACAGUCUGCUGGACCAAUGGGGUUCUAG